rnacentral:rRNA from 1 species
AGAGGGAAACAACCCUGACCUCCAGCUAAGGUCCCUAAGUCAUGGCUAAGUGGGAAAGGAUGUGGGAAGGCCAAGACAACCAGGAGGUUGGCUUAGAAGCAGCCAUCCUUUAAAGAAAGCGUAACAGCUCACUGGUCUAGUCAAGCCGUCCUGCGCCGAAGAUGUAUCGGGGCUAAAGCCAUGCACCGAAGCUGCGGACUUCUCUUCGGAGGAGUGGUAGCGGAGCGUUCCGUAGGCCUGCGAAGGUGAUCCGUGAGGAUUGCUGGAGGUAUCGGAAGUGAGAAUGCUGACAUGAGUAGCGACAAAGAGUGUGAGAGACACUCUCGCCGAAAGUCCAAGGGUUCCUCGGCAAGGCUAAUCCGCCGAGGGUGAGCCGGCUCCUAAGGCGAGGCCGAAAGGCGUAGUCGAUGGGAACCUGGUUAAUAUUCCAGGGCCUGACGGAGGUGACGAAUGGUGGAAGUAGUUCCGGCUUAUUGGAUUGUCGGGGCUGCCAAGCCGUUCCAGGAAAUAACCCCGUCGUAUAGACCGUACCCCAAACCGACACAGGUGGACUGGUAGAGUAUACCAAGGCGCUUGAGAGAACGACGUUGAAGGAACUCGGCAAAAUACCCGCGUAACUUCGGGAGAAGCGGGCCCCGUUGGUGGGCAACCAUCGGCGGGGGGCACAGACCAGGGGGUAGCGAC